CAUAGCGGCCAUAGCGGUAGGGAAACACCCGGACCCAUCCCGAACCCGGAAGUUAAGCCUGCCUGCGUUCCGUGUUGUACUACGGUGCGCGAGCCCGUGGGAAGCAUGGAUCGCCGCUAUGC
rnacentral:rRNA from 1 species